UGUUUAGAUAGGGAAAUGAAGAACUCAGAAAAGAGGCAGAUCCAACCCCAUUGUUUUUCAAUAACCUGAAGAAAAAGUUCUGCAAACAAGGCAGAAGGUGCAGCUCUGAGACAGCACGGUGCUGUGGAAAGACCAUGGUUUUGGGGCCCAAGAGACGGGGGUUCAGCUCCAGGUGUUCUGGGUAAUCAUCAGCAAGUGACUUAGCUUCUUUCAGCCCCAGUUGCUUCAUUUGCUUAUAAACAAGACAUACGAGUAAUGUGCAUAAAGAAUUUGGCACAAAGCAGGCCCUAAAUAAAUGUUAAGAACUGCCGAGCUAGAGACUAUAUUUCCUAGCUUCCCUUGUAGCUAGGUGUGUCCACGUGGUUAAAAGUUCUGAAUGUGAGGGGAAAUGAUUUGUGCAAUCACUGCCUCCCUUGCUGAAAAAAGUUAUUCACCUUAAACUUCCCCUGUUUCUUAUUCCUGUGGGAUAGAAACAGAUUUGGAGGUAACCCCACAUUGACCAUGCAGAUAAAGACAAUGAUGGUGCAGCAACAUCAGGAUGGAAGGGGUUGGGGCUGAUGAACGGUCCUGUGGUCAGAGCUGUCCCACCAGCUGAGAUUAGGUGGACUGUUAUGUCAGAGAGGCCUACACUAUCGUAUUAUUAGAAACAAGCUGCAAUUUGGGGUUAGUUUUUACCCUAAGUAAUACAGGAGGAUUUUAGACAUUUUUUGUUGGGAUAGUCACUGGUUUCCAGGUAGCUUCAGAAAACAGGCAUGGAGGACGUCCAGAACAAGAAAUCUGAGGCACAAACUACUGGGAGACGCAGGUGCUGAGCUCUGCCUCUUCCUGAAGAUCCUCUGUCUUGGCCUUCAAGCUUUCAUGAUUACCACACCCUCCCCAGCCUUCUCAGGUGGGUCAGUGCCAGCUCACAGUGCUGAGCCCUUCCACCAUGUGAGUAUAUGAGAGAAGUUUGCAACCUAGAAGGAGCCCUCACUCGACCACGCUGGCACUCUGAUCUUGGACUUCCAGCCUUCAGAACUGUGAGAAAUCAAUUUCUGUUGUUUAUAAGCUAUCCAGUCUGUAGUAUUUUAUUAUAGCAGCCCAAAUGGACUAAGACGGCAAGAAAAUGGAUUCUCCCUUACAGCCUGCAGAAGGAACACAGCUCUGCUGACACCUUUGUGUUAGCCCAGUGACACUCAUUUUAGACUUCUGACUCCCAAAACUAUGAGAAAAAUCUUACAAGGCAGGAAGUUAUUACUUUGAGGACGUGAGUUGGGAAUCCUCAUUCACACACAUCUAUUCAAGAAUCAUCAGUGGAGGCAGCCAUUCAUCAGGCCAUCCCACCUGGAAUAUGGGGUUUCAACAGGGAAAUAGUGGCUACUCCUCUCAAAAAAUGGAAAGCAAAUGCAUAGAAAAUGAGAAUGCCUCUCAUAUCCUGCCUGCUCCUCAGAAGUCAGAUGCUGAACAUUUUGUGAUGUUAACUAAGAGACAGAAGAAUAAGAGAACAAAUGGCAACUCUUCUUGGUGACUCCUGGACAGCGUAGAACAUCUCAGUGGUCCUUUAUGCUGCUUAGUUGGAUAACUCACUUUCUACACAUUUCUAUGUUGAUAACUCUUACAUUUAUAUUUUCAUCCUGACUGCUUACCAGAGUUUUAGUCCCAUUGUGGGACUUUGUAAAGCCCAUUGGUAUUCGUAUGUCCCAGUGUCACAUGGAGCUCAACAGACGUAGAAUUAAACUCAGUUUGGUUCCCAGUGUCUCCUGUUUGUGGUGUUUACUUCCCUCCAAAUCAAAGGCUUUGCCCAUGUCUUUCCCAGAUCUGGGUGCCUCUCUUUCUGCUGGGCUCAGGUCUCCUGUUAUUAACAGUUUCACCAUUGUCGAAGUUCUCCAGGUUCAAAGCCCUGAAGGCGUUUCUAACAGAUUGCUCUCCUUCAUGCUUCGUAAUGAGUAAGUUCUUGAAAUUUUUCCUUUAGACUGAGAGCUGUUGAUGUUAUUUCCUUUCUAUCUCAUAGUCAUCAGACAACCGCAGACACUUGUCAAGUCUUGCCUGAACUAAUGCAGCAGCUUUCUAGCAGCGUUCCUGGCCACCUCUUCCCUUUCUCAAAUUCUGCUGCUAAACGAAUACUUAUAAGACAUCUACUCCCCUGCUGAGAAGCCUGUGAAGGCUCCUGAUCUCCCAACAUUGUGCCUAAGCUCUGCUGGCUGUGUCUCCCUCGUCUUUACCAUGACUCCAGCGUCUCCUUGCUCCUUAGUCUAGCCUGUCUUUGCAUUCUCCUUGAUUGUACUUCUCAACUUCCCACUGUGGCCCUUUCUCUCCUAUUCACCUCCCCAAAUCCUAACCACUUUUCAGCCUCUUCCCUGCAAGAUUCUUUUGCUUGUUUUCAUCCACUUCGAAUUCCCUUUCCUUUGAACUCCUAAAUCACGUCUUAUCUUUAGAUUGGAUGAUCAUCUUGGCAGCUUUGGUAGAACAGAAAGAACUUUGGAUUGGAGUCAGAUAAACUUGGCUCCUGAACAGGUCUCAAUAAUGCACUCUAGACCUGGAGCCAGUCAUUUUUACCUCUCUGAGUCUUGCUUUUUUUAAAUAAAAUGGAGAUAUUAAUACAUGAGAUGGACAGUGACAACAAAUGUGAAAGUACUGGCAUGCAAUCAGAUCUUCGAUGUUAGUUGAAUUUGAUUCUUUAAAAUUAUUUUUAAACACUUUAUAUCUGUUUGUCUGUCUUCUUCGUUUGGCUCCUGGAGAGCAAGUACUGUGUUUUACAUCCCUUUCUCCCACAAAAGACCUGGGCAUUGUUAUGUAAAAAUUUGCUGCCAAA
ensembl:lncRNA